UGAAUUUAAGCAUAUAAGUGAGUGAGGAGAAGAAACUAAUCAGGAUUCUUUAAGUAGUGGCGAAUGAACAGGGGGCAGGUCAGACUGGUAAUUGGGGUCUCUGGGCUCUGAAUUGUAGCCUGAAUUGCGACUGCCAACGGGGAUGCAUAUGCAAGCCUUUUGGAAAGGAGGACCUGUGAGGGUGACAGUCCCACUCAUGGUAUGCAAUUUGUCGUGCACGGUGGUUGUAUCUGUGAGUCGUGUUCCUUGAAACUGGAGCGCCAAUUUGGUGGUAUAUCUCAUCUAAACUUGAGUAGUCGUCUGAGAUUGAUAGCGAACAAGUACCAUGAGGGAAAGAUGAAAAGGACUUUGGAAAUAAUGUUAAAAGUUCCUGAACUUGCUGGAGGGAAAGCGAAUGAACCUAGUAUAGCAGGCAAGAUUUCUGCACCCUGUGCCAAUGGCUUGCUGAUUCAGUAAUAACGAGAUGGCUGGUGUUAUUGAGUAUGCUGGUGUGUAGUGUGUCUUGCUUGAAUGUCUGUGGUUGUGUGACACUGGGGAUGCUGCAUUGCAUGGCCAUUUGCUUCUGUGUACUGGCUGUUCUUUSCCGCAGACUCAGUUGUGCACUACACUGUGCCAGGUGCUGUUCUCACGGAAAGGUGAGUGUAGAAGUUGACACAUUGCGACACAGGUUUUCAUUUGACCCGUCUUGAAACACCGACCCANG
rnacentral:rRNA from 1 species